ACUCAAACGCUUCAACAAUAUUUGUCUCUGAAAACAGUCCUGAAAGUUUCUUGAAGUUAAAGUUAUUAUAUCCACAAGAUAGCUGCAUUAUUGGUAAACAUCUAGGAUCUUAGAAAGCUGUUGUUUUUUAUUUUUAAUGUUUCUAUGUAUAAGAAAUAAGAAGUUUCAUCACAACCCAUAAAGUAGUUUUUCGGAAAUUGUGAUAAGUAGUAAUUUCCAGAAUUCAACAAUCAAGUUAUUAAUUACAUACUGAGUCAAUUAAUCUACCCAGUAGAUCUAUAUAUUAAUCAGAGAGCACUUAAAUACCUUCAAUUACAUUGUAGUCGCUUGAUUCAAUUAACGGAAAUCGAAAUAUUGAAUGUCAAAGAAUAUUAACUUACUGUAUUGUCUCUUAUGAUAAAUUGGAGACUAUUUGAAAGAAAAAUAGACGAUAUCUCUCCAGUCUUUGAAAUGAAAUUCACCUCGAAAGUGGAGAUAUUUCGUAUUUAUUUCCAUUUACAAUAAUAACAGAAUUUACUUUGCACCCAACCACAGCCCUACCACCAGUGACUGGUGGGUUUUUUUAUACUCUUUGCAUUUUGGUUCUGUUAACUACUAGAAGAUCGAUAUCCAAAGGUUCUGAUUGAGACUAUGAUUCGAAAAUUGGUUUUCAUGGUUGAGUAUUGGAAUAGAUUAGAGAUAUCAAAUUGAAUUCUAUAAAAGAAACUCAGGAACCAAUUCAAGGAAAGUUGUGAGAACAGCAAAUGUUAUGCCAACGAUACUCCCCUGUACAGGAGUCAAUUCAAUCAUUGGAAUUACUACAUUUUUGAGAAUCAUAGUGAUUCUAGAUUAAUCUGUGGUUCUUCAAGGCUUGGAAUGAGCUUGUAAAAUAUAAUUAUCACACAAGAGACAAUACAACAUGAUUUUUCAUACACAACAUGAAGGAGAAAGAGAAAAUAGCUCACGCCUCACUCACUUCAUUCAGGUGCUUAGUUUUUUGCAUAAAUACAAGCGAAAUUAUAUUGCCAAGAUCAUUUCGUAGCCGGAGUUGAGAAUCCUUUUAAAUGGGGAUGAAUGGCAAUUUAGUUUUUUUAUCUCUUUUCUAAUUUGAACCAUAUAGAUUAAUUUUGAGGUCUCACAGCAUUUUACAAGUCUUCUUUAGUUUUAGCAUUUUGCACUUUCUCUGAUAUCGUAUCAAUCUUAUUCCGGUCGCGUAUUAAUGGGGAGGAUAUUAUUUUAUGAUUAUACUUUUCCGACAGUUGCAUAACUUGGCAAACAGAUAAUGUAUUCAAGAGUUUCAAGUCUCGUUUAAUCUGGUAGAUUUCAUAAGGACGGCAAAAAAUCAAACGUCCAAAAAUCUAUGUGUGUAACUGACUUAACUAUCACUGGCUUCACGAAGCUCAAGAAAAUAGUUUUCUUAUUAUAAUAUGAAAUUAUCAGAUUGUAGGUAUGGAGGUUUGAUAUUAGAAUUCCGGUACAGAAAGUUUUUCAGUAGUAGAAUCGCUUAUUUCUCAGGAAUACUUACUUCUACCAGAAUCGGUGUUUAUUAUUCGAUCAGAUCAGAGCAUGAUCACAACAAUAACAUUUCUUUCUUAAUUAUAAUUUUAUUUUGUGGCUUGAAGUUGAGUGCAAAUAGUUUUUAGUUACACCAUAUCGAGACAAAGGUGUAAGUUGGUGUACUGCACGCGCAGUAAGAAAGGAACAUUCUUGCCAAAUCUCAGAAUUCUAUCAACGCGUUUGUUUGGCCGUAAAUGCAUUACAUACAGACAGACGAAAGAAAAUCCGAGUUAUCAUAGAACUCACUGCGUUCGGCCAAUUAUCGUUAUUCAAAAAUUGCAUUCAAUCUUUAUUCUCAUUAAUUAAUUCUUCAUAUCUUGUAAAAUUCGUUCAAUAAUAAGAAAUAUUGCCAUUCAAUCUAAAUUAGUGUAUAAGCCAGCAGUGUAUUAUAUUGUAACAUAACAUAGGCCUGCAUGAAUAAAGAACUCUAAUCUAAUCUAAUCUAAUCCGUAAUCCCUACGCUGUAUGUUCUCUUUUCAACUGCAAAUGUCUUUAUUGAAUUCUUCAAUGUUGUUUUCCAUCACGAACUGCUUAUUAUUAAAUCUCUUUUUGCUUUUAGAAAAAACGACUAGCAGUCAGAUAUUUUUACAAUAAAUGAAUAAAUCACUCACUGGACAACGAGAUCUUUCGGCAGUUCCGCCAUCUUCUUGGUUGUCUUCUAUUGCUAUACUUUUUAGUACCGUACGGUAUAUUGUUUGAGUCUCUCCCCCUCCUACAAGCUCCUACUUUUGUAAUAGUAUGUAGGCCUAACUUUCACCAUUGUCCACGGCCGUGCUCUCUCUCUCGAAACUCACUCCUUCCUUGUCGAAGUAUUUUCGCGCCUUUUUGAGUUGUGUUUGCCUUUUCGCUAUAUAGUUAUUGGACUUGAUCUUCUUGUCUAAUGCAGUCGCAAGGGUUAGUUUCAGUUCAUCACGUAUUGAAUACAGAGUACAUUUCCUGUUUCCAGUGUUUUAUCCAGGCAUUUAUUUGUUUUGAAGUCACGUGAUCUUCUAUCAUCAAUGAGACGUAUGUCGCGUCAUGCGCCGAUAAAGCUUCGGAAGGGCGCACAAUCACAAGUAUCAUGGGGAAGCUGGUGACCCUUCCUUACCAUCCAAAGCAAGGACGACCAUAAGAGAGAGAAAAACCUUUCAAGGACCUUCUGAUAACUGAAGUUAUGAUUGCAGCUGCUACAAACCGGUGCUGGCCGAAGGCAGAAUUGAAGCAGGUCUAGUUGAAAGCGGCUUCGUGGCUUGCACAAGCCCAAUCCAAGUUGGACAAAAUGAAUCAGCCAUCAACACCAGCUACAAUAACAAUAAUCGACAUCGAUUGUGAAGAUGAACCUCUCGAAUAGAUAAUAAUAUAAUAGUAGUGACAGAAAAGAUCAUAAAACGUGUCUACAUGUUCAAUUUACUGAUAUCAUAAACAAUAAAUUAGUAAUUGAUUAUAA
rnacentral:lncRNA from 1 species